GCACAAGCAGUGGAGUAUGUGGUUUAAUUCGAAGCAACGCGAAGAACCUUACCAGGUCUUGACAUCCGAUGCAUAGCACAGAGAUGUGUGAAAUCCUUCGGGACAUCGAGACAGGUGGUGCAUGGUUGUCGUCAGCUCGUGUCGUGAGAUGUUGGGUUAAGUCCCGCAACGAGCGCAACCCUUAUUGCCAGUUACUACGUUAAGAGGACUCUGGCGAGAUUGCCGUUGACAAAA
rnacentral:rRNA from 1 species